CUGGCCGUCUGCAGCGUGAGUGCAAGCAAUCUUAGGAAAGACCAUACAGCGUGAUACACUUCGUGUCUGGUGUCAAAAAUCUGCAUGUUAGUUACUGCAGUUGAACUACGAGUAGAGCUGGGCAAAAGUGCGCUAGACAGGCGGGAAUCCCACCCCUGGCCUGUCAUGGAGAGGGGGAACUAGCGACCAUCCCCGACAGGCUAGAAAAAAGCUGUGUGUGUGGGGACAGAGCACUUCACCCUCGUGUUGUGUUUGACCGGCUCAGUGGCGUCAUGCACAGACAGGCAGUCUUUGGAUGGCUACACAACAGGUGGGGAGGGAGCCCUGAGAGUGCUCUCACCUGACAGAGUGGCAUGCGGAGUGUAGGUCAUGCCCUCCCAUAAGUGAUUUGUUUACCUACGACCAAGGUGAAGGAGAGUGUGAGGUCUGUGGAUAAACACGCCGAAGGAGGAGGAUUUACCAUCGCUCACCGACUAGGAGACGGAGGAAGACAAAGGCGAUAAACUUGAGGCUAUUUUGGUGUAUGAUGACAUCAACAUCUUAUUGGCCUGAGCUUCUGUUAUGUCGUCUCUACUGUACGUCACUGUCAUCCGGCAUCGUCAUUCAUCAUCGUCGCCUCAUCCCUGUGUUGCCAAGGUUAUCUCGCCCUCAGGAUGCCUCGUGACAAAUGGAGAGCUGAGCAAGAUGAGUGUCAGCUGCCAGGGACAGGUGUCAGGAGCAGGAGGAAGGACAGAGCUAUUAGAGGGCAAUGUCAUUAACCACUGGAGUGACUUACUGGGUGCUGUAUGGCUGUCAAGAACAUCCUGCGGCGGGCUGUGUGGUGACUGCUACAUGCUGGGAGAAGACUUAGAACACAGAUCAACUGCUAGACUGUAGAUCUGCAGGAACUGGACGCAGACUAACGAAGCAGAAACUGGUCAUUGGUGAGACAAGAAUAUCUAGCACGAUAUAACUUCCAGCUCAGCGAUGUAGCAGAAAAAGAGUAACGAAUGCUCAUCAAGCCAGGGACAAGGUGGUGACUGAAGUGUCUUAAUAUUCCUUCCAUCGAAAAGUGAUGUGUCGUGCAAGAAAUCAAAUGCAAUUAGGGAAGCAAAUUAAGGAGAGGAAAAUGAAAUUGUUCACCUCCUUACCAUGAUGGACAGACGACAAGGGCCAAACAUAAGGAUUUACACACUGCAAGCGUUGAACAAGGUUCGUUUUGCCCCGUGUGGUGUUGGAGCCAUAACAAGAAACAUCGGAGAACGCGCCAGCCUCAAGGUACUCCAAAGCUUCCUCGGCAAGACUCCUCUGCCUCAGGUCUUGUUGCGCCACUGAAUACAGUAUCAAUGAGACUAACAAGAACAGAAGACCGACUUGAAGAAAUAAGUUAUAAUUAAAGAUCUUUAUAAUGUGUAAUCUUUUGCUUUAAUAAAUUGAAAACAUCCCUAUUUCUUCUAAUACAUUUCAUAUAUAAGUUUUGUUGCAAUGAUAAAACUAAAUCAUUGAGAAUAGCUGCUUUAUAUCAACAUUGGAUAACAUGUCUGAAUAUAAUAGAAUAUUGAAACGCUGAAACAAAGCUAAAAAGUAAUGAGUCUGAAUAUUCUUUAGAAUUUUCAGGAGAGGCUAACUUGUGUACUUUAUAGAUAAACAAAUUUAUAAAUAC
rnacentral:lncRNA from 1 species